rnacentral:rRNA from 1 species
UACGUAGGCAGCAAGCGUUGUUCGGAGUUACUGGGCGUAAAGGGUGCGUAGGCGGCUUUUUAAGUUUGGUGUGAAAUCUCCCGGCUCAACUGGGAGGGUGCGGCGAAUACUGAGAGGCUAGAGUGCGGGAGAGGAAAGUGGAAUUCCUGGUGUAGCGGUGAAAUGCGUAGAUAUCAGGAGGAACACCGGUGGUGUAAACGGCUUUCUGGACCGUAACUGACGCUGAGGCACGAAAGCGUGGGUAGCAAACAGG